AUUGAACGCUGGCGGCAUGCCUUACACAUGCAAGUCGAACGGCAGCACGGGUGCUUGCACCUGGUGGCGAGUGGCGAACGGGUGAGUAAUACAUCGGAACAUGUCCUGUAGUGGGGGAUAGCCCGGCGAAAGCCGGAUUAAUACCGCAUACGAUCUACGGAUGAAAGCGGGGGACCUUCGGGCCUCGCGCUAUAGGGUUGGCCGAUGGCUGAUUAGCUAGUUGGUGGGGUAAAGGCCUACCAAGGCGACGAUCAGUAGCUGGUCUGAGAGGACGACCAGCCACACUGGGACUGAGACACGGCCCAGACUCCUACGGGAGGCAGCAGUGGGGAAUUUUGGACAAUGGGCGAAAGCCUGAUCCAGCAAUGCCGCGUGUGUGAAGAAGGCCUUCGGGUUGUAAAGCGCUUUUGUCCGGAAAGAAAUCCUUGGCCCUAAUACGGUCGGGGGAUGACGGUACCGGAAGAAUAAGCACCGGCUAACUACGU
rnacentral:rRNA from 1 species